UUCUCCCAUCUUCUCUUCUCUAUGCAUCUAUUUGUCUUGGUUCGCUUCACUUCUUUUGGGGGAAUUUCCAUAUCAAGAGGCUAAUCCGAUAGAUAGAUUUCUUGGACAUUCUCAUCGAGUAAGCCUGCUAACAAUUGACGAAGCAGUCACAGUUUCCAGGUGUAAUUGAUCACCCCGGUUCAAUUUGAAAAAGAUUGUAUUAAGAAAGUGCUGUUGAUUGCAUCCCUCUACUACUUUAGCUCAAAGCAUCAAAGGAUGCAGUAUAGAGAAUUCUCAAUUGCAAAAUUUGGGGUUCCAGGUGUUGGAGGAGGGGUGUUCCUUGGUUCAUUUUAGGAGGCUAAUGGGUGUUCUGUUACCACCUUGUGGAGGAGAAUCUUCCACCAUGCGACAGGUCGGUAAAGUGAUGGAUGCGACCAAAGUGAACCUACGGCAGCUGUAAUCUCUCACGGGUCUCCUUGCACUGGCAUCGAGAACAGUGCAUUUAACGAAGCAACGUGAUUGAUGAGCGAAAAAAAAGGACAACUGAGUGGCUCCUUGAUUGAUUUUUCCGAGUUACUGUAGAAUUGUUCUUUUUCUACGAGUCACGGAGUUUGGCAUGUGCAACGAGCUUUGAGAGGAAGCUGUGAUGACUGCAAUCAUUCACGUGCAUGCAUACUUUUGUCACUUAAGGUGUAAGAACCAGGUCUGCUGCUUGGCUUGGACCAAAGUUGGCAGGCCUAAUGGGCUUUGAUUCAAGAGCUUUUAGAAAUAAAGGAUUAUGAUCCCCUGCUUUUCGAAUGGUUUGAAUGGCCGUCGCAGCCGGUGCCAACGGCCAGUGGCCGUUAGAGGCGAUUGCAACCACCAAACGGUCGGCCGUUGCCCGAGCUUAUCCCCUCCAACCGACGAACGGCCAGCCAUUACGGCCGUUGCGUUCGAGCUUAUCCCCUUCUUUCGGGGUUAUAAAAACCCUCGAUUAUCUAUCCGAUCCGCCACCUCCUUUCUUCUUCCUUCUCCCUCCUCCAUGUUUCUUCUCCCUCUCUUCCUUUCUCUCUUUCCUUCUUCCUUCCUUUGCUUGGGCUUACCGUGCCCUCGCUUGUGCCACCGAGUCUCAGGAUCGCAACGCCUCACCGAAGCAAGUGGCUCCGUCCUCGGCUUCAAGAAGUUCCAGGCCGUCAUCAGCCAGAAGAUCGGGAUCGCUCCUCACCAGAUCUCAUGCUUGAUUCAAUGGCAAUCUUGUCGGUACCGAAUGUGCCAGAAGAACGACGUCUCGUAGACGGUCAUGGUCGCUGCCUGUAUCGAAGCAGGGCUUCCCAGAAGAGCGCUUUCUCUUCUUUAUCAGAUGCUCUUCCCUGACACUUUAGUAAGAAAUCUUAGCCACGUUAGCUUGCGUUCUCUCCUCGCGGCAUGCUCUCAGGCCGGAGAUCCGACUGCUAGCCGUUGGAUCCAUGCCCACUUCACCAAAGCAGGUCUCUUCGGUGAAGGCCAUCCGCUCAUGGUGGGCACUGCUUUGGUUUUGGUUGAAGCCAAUGGACGAGCGAACCAGUUCAAUGCUGGGGACAAAUCACACCCUCAAGCAUGAAAGGUGCAUGCCUUGGAUGAAGUGGUUCUCCCCAGAUGCGGCCUCUCGAAUCCCUGCUGUGUGGAUAAUUACUUGGAAAAAUUGUGAUGAGCGAGGAGAGAAAUAACAGCCUCUGCUCCGGUAUGCUGUGGUCGGAUUAGCACAAGGCCUGGGAGAUCGUUGUCAGAUUCUGUUCCUCUGAAGACCAGGGUGUUGAGCUCCGUAAGCACCAUGCUCCCGUUGAGGGAGUCAAGCUUCCCGAGCAUCCGUUUUUUAGUGCUCCGUAACUCUAGCAGCGGCGCAUCAAACUAUACCGUUAGAAAUUUGACUGGUAAAUUUGGCAGACGUGAUCUCAUUCCAAACUCCAGCAGCGGCGCGUCAAAUUAUACCGUCAGAAGCUUGGCGGAUAAAUUUGGCAGGUGCGAUCUCGUUCCAAACUCCAGCAGCGGCGCAUCAACCAUACCGUCAGAAAUUUGACAGAUAAAAUUGGUAGGCGUGAUCUCAUUCCAAACCUCAGCAAUGGUGCGUCAAACCAUACCGUCAGAAAUUUAGUGGGUAAAAUUAGCAGGUGUGAUCUCGUUCCAAACUUCCAGCAGCGGCGUGUCAAACCAUACCGUCAGCAAUUGGACAGGUAAAUUUGGCAGGCGUGAUCUCGCUCUUGAUCAUGGAGGCAUGCAUCUGCAUGGCAUCGCCCCAGUCUUCAAUCUCCGAUUUUAUUUACUGCACUUGGCUCUCUUUUUUUUUUGACGGGUUCUUCAUACAAUGUGGAUAUGAAUACGCCUAAUAAAAUCAAAAAACAUAAGCUCA